rnacentral:lncRNA from 9 species
CCGCAAGCUCGUGGUUCCUAGUCGGAUUCGUUUCCGCUGUGCCCUGACGGGAACUCCUGGGUGGUUUCUUUGCUGUUGUUGUUGUGGAGGUGUAUGAGUUUUCUUUAUAUAUGUUUUGGAGGUGAACCUCACGGGCAGUGGUCCCUUUCUCCUCAGUGCUUCUGUAGAGCUGCUGUCCACAGUGUGCCAGCCACUGGCCAGAAGGAGCCAUUUCUGCUUAAUUGAGUUCAGUCAGUAGUUAGGUCUGCCUCUUGCAGUGAACAGAAUAAAGCAGCCUAUGGUUCACUCCCAGGGGCCACCACACAAGUGUGUCCAUGCAGCUGGAAUUUCAGGUGUGUCACCCUGGAGCUGAGGCCUCCAGAUGGACUCGUAGAAGGGAGAUGUGUAAGGCUCCAUCCCUCAGCAGCCCACGAUCUCUGAAGGUUUGCCACUGUGGCCAAUGUUUUAUGGAAGCUUCUGAGGCCGUAGAGCAGAGGGAAGUUCUGAGCACACGGAGGACAAGCCAGGGUGGUGCUGUGUGGCCGCAAACAACCCUAAGUAGGGGAUACGUGUGGGGGACAGGCUCUAACACCUUGAUUCCUUAUGUCUGUGUCUCUGCAGUAUGUUUCAUGGAGAGUCUGAGUGACAGCAACCAUGAUGAAAGUGAUACAGACUCAGUGGUGGAGAGCCUGAGCAGCCGCCAGGAUGAGGAGGCUGCAGCAACCCUCGAUGAUGUUGUGGAGGCCGGCGGGAGUGAGAAGACGGAGGAAGAGGCCCUGGCUGGGGCAAAUGAGGAGGAGGUGGGGCCGGGAACUGAGAAGGUGCAGGAGGAGGCUGCCUGCAUUGACGAGGCAGAGGAGGAGGCAGGCCCAUCCCUUGAAAAUGACGAGGAGUCCCCAGCCAGCGACCUGGUUGAGCAGGAAGACCAGCUUGCCCCCAAGGUGGACGGGAUGGACGAUGAAAGCCUAUGUUUCAUGGAGAGUCUGAGUGACAGCAACCAUGAUGAAAGUGAUACAGGUAAGAACAGCUCUCAGGUAGGAGCCAAUGGGAGAGGGAUCCCGGGACACUUGGGUGACGCCUGCUGCUUGGAGUGUGGGGCAGGUGAGUCUGAAACUUAAAAACAGAAAGAAAUUGAUGUAAAGAUGUUCACCGCCUACUUUAAUAAGGAGAGGGAGCAGAUAUGAGAUGCCUGAAUGUUGGCAUCUGUGCUCACCUUGUGUGGAAGGGUCUCAGUCCAUGGAGCAGAGGGAAGGUCUGGGCACCUGGAGGAAAAACCAGGGUGAUGCUCUGUACCCGUAGUCACCUCAGGGAAGCCGGAGAAACGGGAGGGCCACUCUUUCUAACUCCUUGAUUCCCCUGAUGGUGUGUUUCUACAGACUCAGUGGUGGAGAGCCUGAGCAGCCGCCAGGAUGAGGAGGCUGCAGGUAGGGAAGAGCACGCAGCUGGGAUCCAGUGGGAGAGGGUUCCUGGGAGCACCUGGGUUCCGCCUGCUGCCGGGAGAGGGAGGAAGUGGGGGAUAGGACUUGGCGGGUGGGUGGGUGGGUGGCCUAAUGAGUGGCACUCUGCUGUGGUGUUUUCCCCUGUGAAAUGGAUACCACGAAGAAGACUUGGGUCCCUGGUCUUUGUUGUGCUGUGUUUGUAUU